GACGAACGCUGGCGGCGUGCCUAAUACAUGCAAGUAGAACGCACAGUUUAUACCGUAGCUUGCUCCACCAUAAACUGUGAGUUGCGAACGGGUGAGUAACGCGUAGGUAACCUGCCUGGUAGCGGGGGAUAACUAUUGGAAACGAUAGCUAAUACCGCAUAAUAUUGAUUAUUGCAUGAUAAUUGAUUGAAAGAUGCUAUUGCAUCACUACCAGAUGGACCUGCGUUGUAUUAGCUAGUAGGUGAGGUAACGGCUCACCUAGGCGACGAUACAUAGCCGACCUGAGAGGGUGAUCGGCCACACUGGGACUGAGACACGGCCCAGACUCCUACGGGAGGCAGCAGUAGGGAAUCUUCGGCAAUGGACGAAAGUCUGACCGAGCAACGCCGAGUGAGGGAAGAAGGUUGUCGGAUCGUAAAGCUCUGUUGUAAGAGAAGAACGGGUGUGAGAGUGGAAAGUUCACACUGUGACGGUAUCUGAACAGAAAGGGACGGCUAACUACGUG
rnacentral:rRNA from 1 species